AAUUAACAGUAAUCGUGGGUGAUUGGAUUGUGGUUUGUUUUGUCAAGUCCACUGAAAGCUUACAUGGCCAGAUUACUCUGCUGAGAUGUACUUGUCAGACGUAUAAUAAAUAGACUGCAUUCUGAACGGGUGUUGCUGCUACCUGACCAAACUGUGAUACUGCUUCUGCGUUGCAUUAUGGUGUGUGUGUGUGUGUGUGUGUGUGUGUGUGUGUGUGUGUGUUCAUCUGAGACACAGUUUGCAAAUUCAGAAGAACAGAAACUCGGAAGACUCGGUGAGAUAAUGAGGAUGCAAAUGGUGAAAGGCUUUGAUUGAAUUAGUCAAGUGAGAGGCACAUGUGCUGAGCCGAGAUCCUACUUAAUGGAAUCUGAGGGUAUAGAGUACAGGAGAAACUGCGGGCAUCUUCGUCUGGUGUCUGAAAUGAUAUUGCAGCAUUGUACCUGUGAUACAGACUCUAGAUCUCAGAGCAACCCUGACUAUGUUCAUACUGAAGAACAUGCCUCAGUAUCCAUUCCCAUUCCUGAUGAUGUCCCAAGUUGAACAUUUCUUGAAGACAAUCACAGUUGCUAGAUCCAGUUUCGAUUUUUAUGUUACAUGAUCAGGUCAUAUUUCUAGACCUAGUGUAAAAUAAACAGCAACCUGGACAUGA